rnacentral:rRNA from 1 species
AUACGGGGGGGGCUAGCGUUGUCCGGAAUUAUUGGGCGUAAAGGGCGCGUAGGCGGAAUGGUACGUCAGUGGUGAAAAUCCAGGGCUCAACCCUGGACCUGCCUUUGAUACUGCCAUUCUUGAGUGCGAGAGAGGAAAGUGGAAUUCCCGGUGUAGCGGUGAAAUGCGUGGAUAUCGGGAAGAACACCGGUAGCGAAGGCGGCUUUCUGGCUCGCAACUGACGCUGAGGCGCGAAAGCGUGGGGAGCAAACAGGAUUAGAAACCCCAGUAGUCC